GAGGGUGUAGCUCACUGGUAGAGCACGUGCUUAGCAUGCAUGAGGUCCUGGGUUCAAGCCCCCAUAUCUCCG
rnacentral:tRNA from 1 species